GGACUACACGGGUUUCUAAUCCUGUUUGCUCCCCUUGCUCUCGCGCCUCAGCGUCAGGUUUUAACUAGAGAACCGCUUUCGCCACUGGUGUUCUUCCACAUAUCUACGCAUUUCACCGCUACACGUGGAAUUCCAUUCCCUCCGUCAAUCCUCGAGAUCUAUAGUUUCAUAUGCAGCUCUGAAGUUGAGCUUCAGAAUUUCACAUCUGACUUAUAUUCCCGCCUACGCGCCCUUUACGCCCAAUAAUUCCGAUUAAUGCUUGCACUCUCCGUAUUACCGCGGCUGCUGGCAC
rnacentral:rRNA from 1 species